UUCUGAAUAACAAUGCAAACAUAAAACACACAACAAUGGUAAAACACUUCUCUCUUAGCUUACGACUGUUAUCGCGCUUGGUGCGAGGCUGAUGUAUAGUUGGAGAAAAGUACUAUCCACACUUGCCCGCACUUAAAUGCGGGUUUUUUUUUACCUGUG
rnacentral:ncRNA from 24 species